rnacentral:rRNA from 1 species
GAUGAACGCUGGCGGCGUGCCUAAUACAUGCAAGUCGAGCGAAUGGAUUGAGAGCUUGCUCUUAUGAAGUUAGCGGCGGACGGGUGAGUAACACGUGGGUAACCUGCCCAUAAGACUGGGAUAACUCCGGGAAACCGGGGCUAAUACCGGAUAACAUUUUGAACCGCAUGGUUCGAAAUUGAAAGGCGGCUUCGGCUGUCACUUAUGGAUGGACCCGCGUCGCAUUAGCUAGUUGGGGAGGUAACGGCUCACCAAGGCAACGAUGCGUAGCCGGCCUGAGAGGGUGACCGGCCACACUGGGACUGAGACAUGGCCCAGACUCCUACGGGAGGCAGCAGUAGGGAAUCUUCCGCAAUGGACAAAAGUCUGACGGAGCAACGCCGCGUGAGUGAUGAAGGCUUUCGGGUCGUAAAACUCUGUUGUUAGGGAAGAACAAGUGCUAGUUGAAUAAGCUGGCACCUUGACGGUACCUAACCAGAAAGCCACGGCUAACUACGUGCCAGCCGCCGCCGUAA